UAGGGAAUCUUCGGCAAUGGACGGAAGUCUGACCGAGCAACGCCGCGUGAGUGAAGAAGGUUUUCGGAUCGUAAAGCUCUGUUGUUAGAGAAGAACGUUGGUAGGAGUGGAAAAUCUACCAAGUGACGGUAACUAACCAGAAAGGGACGGCUAACUACGUGCCAGCAGCCGCGGUAAUACGUAGGUCCCGAGCGUUGUCCGGAUUUAUUGGGCGUAAAGCGAGCGUAGGCGGUUCUUUAAGUCUGAAGUUAAAGGCAGUGGCUUAACCAUUGUACGCUUUGGAAACUGGAGGACUUGAGUGCAGAAGGGGAGAGAGGAAUUCCAUGUGUAGCGGUGAAAUGCGUAGAUAUAUGGAGGAACACCGGUGGCGAAAGCGGCUCUCUGGUCUGUAACUGACGCUGAGGCUCGAAAGCGUGGGGAGCAAACAGG
rnacentral:rRNA from 1 species